rnacentral:rRNA from 1 species
CCCUUAGAUGUUCUGGGCCGCACGCGUGCUACACUGAGUGGAUCAGCGGGUCAGGUUGCGCGAAAGCGUUUCCUAAUCUUUAAAUCCGCUCGUGAUGGGGAUUGACGGUUGCAAUUUUCUGUCAUGAACGAGGAAUACCUUGUAAGCGCGGGUCAUCAUCCCGCGCUGAAUACGUCCCUGCCCUUUGUACACACCGCCCGUCGCUGCUACCGAUUGGUUGAUCUGGUGAAUUAUUCGGACUGCCGGCUGAAGGGGUUUCCUCAUCUGCCAGCGGAAAGUCUUGUUAACCCUAUCAACUAGAGGAAGCAGAAGUCGUAACA